CUAAGAUUUCAACAGAUGAGAAGAAAUCAUAUCCCACACUUUUUAUCCAUGCUACUAUUUAUUCUUUUGCAACAUGCUUUUUUUAUUAUUUUUAUAUAAGGGCGUUAUUCAAGUCAACUUGUUGAGUAUCUCGACUAUUCGCCAAGACGCUGACUCUUCUGCUCGUGCAGACCUUGCGAACGUGGAAGGAGAGCGUUAAGAGGAGACGUUAAGGUACAGGUUGACAGACAGGUGGUCCCGCUCAAUAGGGCCUUCACUCAGCAGUAGUUGGUGCGCUCCAUUUGAUCCGGACCUGCAGUCUAUUUUGGUAUGCCAUUCUUUUGAGAUGUAUAUGCAUAUAGGUAUGACGGGGCUCUGUCCCGUCCUUUCUACAGUUUUCUAUUCCGUUAGAGGUCUGUAGACAGUUGUAUAUAUUUGACAGAUGAUGUAGCCUUGUCGGCUCCUAUUCUUUUGUGUACAGCAUAUGUAGUGGCCUAGUCGGCUUG